rnacentral:rRNA from 1 species
GGUAUGGGAUGAGCUUGCGUCCGAUUAGCUAGUUGGCGGGGCAACGGCCCACCAAGGCGACGAUCGGUAGCCGGCCUGAGAGGGUGAUCGGCCACAUUGGGACUGAGAUACGGCCCAGACUCCUACGGGAGGCAGCAGUAGGGAAUAUUGCACAAUGGGGGAAACCCUGAUGCAGCAACGCCACGUGUGGGAAGAAGCAUUUCGGUGUGUAAACCACUGUCGUGAGGGAAUAAUACGCGGUUUCGGCCGCGGGGGAAUGUACCUCGAAAGGAAGCACCGGCAAACUUCGUGCCAGCAGCCGCGGUAAUACGAGGGGUGCAAGCGUUGUUCGGAAUCACUGGGCGUAAAGGGAGCGUAGGCGGAUGUUCAAGCGGAUUGUACAAUACCGGGGCCCAACCCCGGACCUGCAGUCCGAACUGGACAUCUUGGAUAGUUCAGGGGCAGGC